rnacentral:rRNA from 1 species
UACGAAGGGGGCUAGCGUUGCUCGGAAUCACUGGGCGUAAAGGGUGCGUAGGCGGGUCUUUAAGUCAGGGGUGAAAUCCUGGAGCUCAACUCCAGAACUGCCUUUGAUACUGAAGAUCUUGAGUUCGGGAGAGGUGAGUGGAACUGCGAGUGUAGAGGUGAAAUUCGUAGAUAUUCGCAAGAACACCAGUGGCGAAGGCGGCUCACUGGCCCGAUACUGACGCUGAGGUGCGAAAGCGUGGGGAGCAAACAGGG